UUUCGCUAGAGGAUUGCAUUAUUGUUCAGCAGUUUCAUUGGGUAAAUUUUGAUAGGUAUUUUCAUGAUGAGGAGGUAAAUUAUUUAUUUCAAAAUUGAUACAAACAAAUUAUUUAGGUACUCAAAAGUCAAAUCGCAUUCCAAAUCAUUGCAUCAAAAUUUCGAUACGAAAAAGCAAGUUGAUUUCUGGUUCAACUCUGACAAUAUGCCAUACGUAUGGAAAAAAUUCCAAGUUAGAACUGGUGAUUGGUGCCUUGAUGGCGAGGAGUGAAGAUAGCAGGAUAAUAAUUGCGUAGUUUCGGAAACGAAAAUGUUAUAUUCUUAUCUUUUCUGUGUUAAAAUUACCAAGAAAUACUAGACAGACCUGAAGAAUCUUUUGUGUUUCAUUCGGUACUCGUACGUUCGAUUUGGUUGCAAAAAUAUUCCUUCCCGAAUAUUCUUGUCAAGUUUACGUGUUAUCGACGUGACGACUAUGCUAUAGUGAAUCCUUAUCUCUUUUUUCCCUCAAUCCAAUGCGUAGGCUGGUAUUCUUUCUGUCGAAUUAUUUGAGCGAAGAGUGAGAAUUAAAAUUAGAAUUAGUUCUAGUUGUGAGUUUGUCGACUGUCGAGUAGGUAUCUGUCUUCCUUCGGUGUGAUGUGUGAUGAUCGAAAAUUUUUAUUAGAGAUAUUUCGUUUCGUGAUCGGUCAUUCGUAGAUAGUAACUAUUUUAAAGCGUUCUCGGCUUUUGUCGUCUUAUUCGUAGUUGUCGUAACGUGAAUUUUUUCGAAUCAUGACUCGUGAUUUGACGUCUUAAAUGAUCGUAAACCGUGUUGCAAUUGCAAAUCGGUUCAUUUUAACGUCUUGUGUCGUGUCGAAAUUUGUGACCGUUUUUCGCGAUCUUCGGUGUUCUUCGAUCGUCGAUUCGUCGACCUUGAGCUUUGAGCAGUUGAAAGGACGCGACGCUUGGCGCCCGAAUCUUCGAAGGACUUACUAUAGCAAUCCAUUAGGGUGAGUGUCCAUGUUUGUGUUAACGAUAAUGAGUAAGUCAAUCGUUUACGAUUUUAUGUUGAAAAUAGUGUAUAUUUGUUACUUAAUGGGUACAUUGUAAUAACACAAUUGAUUAAAUACUUAUUCUCAACCCAUCAUUUCCUCCUCCUACCUGCAUAAAAUUAAAAUUCACAACAAUUUUGAAAAAAAUCAACCAGUUUGUCUGCACUUUUCUCUUCCUUACACACAAUGUACGCGAAUAUUAAUCAACUUUGCUUAAAUUUUUCAAUACUGAAUUGCACAUGAACUUUUUCGUUGCAGAAAGCCAUGCAUAUUUCGAUAAUUUUUUUAAUAUGCGAUAAUGGUUUCCAACGGUCAUCAUAAGGACGGAAAUACAUAUCCCAUAGUCCAGCUUUAGCAGUCGAUUUCAACUUAUUUGGCUCUUCUGCGAUUAUCUUAUAAGUGAUGAAAAUGGCAGCAUCGCUUUGACCCAGAAUCGGCAAAAACAGCGUAUCGUUCAUUUUAUCGAAUCCUUGAUCGGGCGGAGAUAUGGUGUGGCUGGUCGAUAAUGCAUUUUUAACAGCUAACAUAAAACUGGGAUAGAAUAGUUGGGAUGUUGUUUCAUUCAGAGGGUAAAUACUGCCAGCUGUAUCGAGAUAUACCUGUAAGGAGUCUUGGAAUUUGUAUAUUUCUUCUUGAGGGAUUCUAGCGACAAAAGAACGAAAUUCAUCCGGUAUUAUACGGAAUUUUUCAGAUACCCAUUGCACUAGUUUGGUCUCCAAGAGGGUUCUUGUUUCUUGGUUCGAGGUGGUAAGUGCAGUUGAUAAGCUUUUGAGGUCAUUUUUUACCAGCAG